AUAUAUUUUUUUAAAUCUAUAGUCUUCGUUAUGACUACAAACAAAUUUUCCAAAUUAAGAUUUUAAGAUAACGAAAAUAACAAGAAAAGAUAACUUUAUUAAUAAUAGUUUUUUUUAAGAACUCAAAAAUCUAAAACCAUAACCAAAAAUGCCACGAACUUGCAGUCUUGUGAUUUCUGAAGAGUCCCGGAAAUCCCUCCUCGAUUGGCUGUUUUGCGCAGAGUUGUCAAGUAUCACACAGACACUCACGCAUUCGCGUUUCAGUUGCCCGUUGCCGCGGCACUAUCAAAUCAGCACUAUUCGGUGAAACGCCACGCGAGUAAGAGUGCUGGUGAUUAAUUAAUCAUUUGAACAAUGCCCGGAAUGACAACGCCUGUUAAAGCAAAGAAAUCUCCCAAAAAUUCCAAAAACCCGGAAAGAAUAUCCGGAAUUCACAAUGGCAUUCGUGGAACCGAAUACCAACUGUGUGUGACGAUGUACAUUUUGCUGCGAGCCUAUAACAGCUACUCUGAACGUAGGCAAGAUUUCAGGCUUCGGAUGGAACCUACGGAUCCGAUAGUUGGCGAAUUUGACGAUAUUUGGCUCGAGAUGAAUGGUGAACAGAUUUUGAUACAGGUUAAGCAUUGCUCAGACGGUAGCAAUCUGACGGCGGGUAUGCUUCUACCGAAUAAUCGGAGCUCUAAUGAAGCAUUUUCCCUGUACAAAUAUUAUGAUUCUUUUGAAGAGUGCCGAAAGAUGCAAAUAGCUCGGUACAGGACAGCUGAAAAAUGGACCUACGUGUUUUUGACCAACAGACCGUUGCAAGUUAAAGCGAGAAUUUUUUUUGAAAGGUGUUCAAAUCAGUCUUUACUUGAAAGUAUCUUAGAAACCGGUGAAUUCUUAAAGAUCUGGAAUGACAAAAAAAACGAAAGUAUUAAGAAGCUAAAUCCAUCUGGUGAUUUUUGCGAUAAUUUCAUGCUUUCUGUGGCGCAUCUGAAUCUUAAUAAUUUGUGCAAGAAGAUUGAAGCAGAAAUUAGGAAAACCAAGCAAAUGGACUCUAAACUUGGGAUCAAAUUUCUAAGAGAAGAGCUUUUUGAUUGGGUUUGUGUUAAGGAAAAUCGAAAACACAAAUAUAUUAAUCGAGAAUGGGUUGAAUCAAUGUUUCAAAAGUUUCACACUGAGCACGCAAAAAAUCACUGGAAGGCAUACGAAAACCCAGUUCUCUCAACUAUAAAGGAAUCACUGCAAGAGUUUUUGUAUCGGGAUAACCAGAUAGGAGCAAUAGACGAAACUGCUAAACUUUUGUACGAACAAAUAAAAUACAUUCUUACAACAGGCCAAAUAGAAAGUAAGCAGGAAUGUGAUGGAAGUAAUGUAACAGCAACAGAUAGAGAAGAUGAUGUUGAAAAUAAGGUUUUUGAACAAGCUGAGGAUAACAAUCAAUACCAGAGCUAUUCAGAAGAAGCAUCACCAAACAAACAAAUAUUUACGUUGCGACAAAUUCUACAAAUAAGUCGAGAAUUUCAGGAAAAAGAUACACAUCAUUUAUUCGUCUUUUUCAAAAAUGAUUACGAAACAGCGAAGCUUAAAGAACUAAUGGACCUAUUAGACAAGAAUGGUUUCUCAACCAAAACUCUUGGGAAACACGACUCAUCUGUCAUGUUAAAUUUGGCAGUAAAAUGUGUUCUGAAACGAGCGGGACUCAAGAUGGAGGGCACAGUUUUUGAAAAUUCUCGGUUGGUUCUCUGCCACGACAACGAAGUGGACAUAAUCGGAAAAACGAUCCAAGAUGUUGAAAUUCAGUACGUUAGACUCAAGGAUGAAGCCGGGAAAGUUGGUCUGAUUCUUGAUACAUCGAAAACGAAGUACAUGUUAGCUAAUGGGAAACUACCGCAAAGUGGCUCGGUGACCAUAGCGAGUGAUAAAAUCGAAAUGGUGAAAGAGGUCGAAUUCCUCGGAUCAUUAGUGACUUGGGACAACAGCUGCAACAUAGAAAUCGAGAGAUGUAUUAAAAUCGGAAAACGCACUUUCGAAGAUCACGAGAAGAUGCUAAAAUCAGAGCAAGAUAUUCUCAAGAAAUGGAGAAUAUACGACGAGCAAAUACGAUCCAGAGUCCUUGAAGGGUGUGAGACGUGGACUGUGCUUGCCAGUAGAGAAGUCAUGCUCGUCAAGUUUGAAGACGAUAUGCUAAGAGCAAUAUUCAACGGUGCGAAGCAACCAGACAUUUGCAGACCUAUCAUGUGUGUUGUAAAUGCUAGACAAGUACGGUGGGCGGUACAGGUCGCUGGGAUGUGGAACAAUGAACCCGCAAAAAGAGUGGUCAUCGAAGCAAGCUUUCCUGUCGUGAACAAUAGAAGACGUACGGGUAAACCUAAAACGCGUUGGUUUGAGGCGAUCAACGGUCGUGAAAAAGGGCAAGAUCUACGCGACGCUUGGGAACUAGCCGUAAAGCAGCUCAAAUCUGGAAACCCACGAGUUACCAAAACGGAAGGCAAACAUUUUGGAAUUAUGUCCUGAUGCCUAAAGAGUAAAAACGGUCUUUAAGAGGAAAUCAAUAGCAAACGAUUAAAACAUAUUUUCCCACAGGGUACAGAAAGGAUACACCAAAAAUGAGUUGCCUUAGGGCAGCACUACUUCCUCUCGAGAUUCACAAGAAGGUACAGGAACAUACAUGUUGAGAUUAUUUUACAAUUGAUAUCAGUAAUUUUGGACUAGUUUGACGGGAAAUAUCUACCGAAUAUUUUCUUUAAAAAAAGCUUAAACAAGUUUAUCGGUUUAAUUUAAAACAAACUGAACAGUCAAAUUAUGAAAGGAUGGAUGAUGGAUUAGCUCUUGGUCACGACAGACUUGAAACUCGAGAGAUUCCCAUAGAUCAAGACUAGGAUUACUAAAAUGUUAUUACCGGAAACUGAGAUGACAUUGAUGGGAUAUCUUUAAUAGAAAAUGGAAUCAGCAAUUUUUCAAUUUUUUUUGCUCAAUAAGUAAAAUGAUCAUGUUAGCUUUGAGGCUUUUACACUUUGGACUCCCUAUCAAAGUCACCUCAAUUUACGAGCCAACUUACAGCUUACACUAUGGGCAAUGAACCUCGUCAAUUGUAUGGUUCGGAUAGUACGCAAUAUUUACCAACUUUUGAUCUCCAAAGAAGACUUUUUAAUCGGUGAUAAAAAAAAUGCUGAAAUGCUGUGAUAAUUUGGUUGGAAAGUUGCUGUUUCAAACGCAAUGUUAAAAAAGUGAUACCGGAAAUGUGAUGAUUUAAAAAGGUCUCAGGUUAAGUUUACAGACAAAAAGUAGCCAUGUUUUUAAUAUUGUAUUGUUAUCAUAUUUUUAAGCAUGUUUAUCAAGUUAA
rnacentral:misc_RNA from 1 species